UACGGGGGGGGGCGAGCGUUGUUCGGAAUUACUGGGCGUAAAGGGUUUGUAGGUGGCCUGCUAAGUCAGACGUGAAAUCCCUCAGCUUAACUGGGGAACUGCGUCUGAUACUGGCGGGCUUGAGGACAGGAGAGGAACGCGGAAUUCCAGGUGUAGCGGUGAAAUGCGUAGAUAUCUGGAGGAACACCGGUGGCGAAGGCGGCAUCCUGGACCAACACUGACGCUGAUGAGCGAAAGCCAGGGGAGCAAACGGG
rnacentral:rRNA from 1 species